UAUAUAUAUAUAUAUAUAUAUGUAUAUUGCGCUCAGGGACAAAUGUGAUACUCGAGUUGACACGCGCGGUAUGUUGAUCAAGUAUCUUAGAAGUUUCAAGUUGUAAUAAUUUAGCGAGUCCACUUGAGACCUUUCGAAUCGUUGUCGCCUUCCUCCCACCACUCAAACAUUGUUUAAAUAUUCCUAUACCUCAAGGACCACCGUUUGUCGUUCUACCAGAUAACAAGGACGAAUAGAGAACGGAGAACGUCGAAGUCAUGAUGGGUCUGCUUUUUUCCUUCCUUACAAACAAAAAUGUAAAGCGAGACUAGUUAUCCAUGUUAGAGAAUUAUGUGAUUGCGAAAAGCAUUCGAACAGGUCUAGAGAUUUAUUGACCGUAAGUAAAGUCUCGCACGACAUUAAGAAAUUAAAUUGAACCACUGAAUUCUUUUUGGUAUUCGUAAAUAUCGAUUAGCAGAGAAAGAGAUGACACGAGCUCGUAAAAUGUUGAACAUACGACGAAUGGUAAUUACGACUUUCACCAAAAGCCGAAGGUACCAAUUAAUCCUUCCUAGGAGGAAUGUAGAUGCGCAAGAACAGGCUACAUAUCAUCUGAUUUAUAAUGCCGCGUAGUAAAAGGCAUUCGCCCUAGGAAGCGCGUUCUAAUUGGAGGUAUGUUUUUCCCGAUCGGGGUCGCCGAUGUAUCGUACCGCGCGUGCGUACAUGUGCACCGGAAUUUAUGCCCGGUUAUGUCGUGUGUUUUAAGGGAUCGUCGCUCGAGCGUAAUAAUUUACGAGCGCUAAACCGGAAAAGAUGGAAUAACACGCGUGUAACGCCGAUGUCAGCGUCAGUCGAUGUUUUCCUGAUUAACUGGGUCUCUGAACUCCUUUUAACCUCCUAAAGCAAACGAAGUCUUAGUUAACUGAAUUAUUAUUAAUUUCGUCUAUUUAAUAUUUGAUAUGAUUAAAUCUAACCAUACAACCUAAUAUUAUAUGAAGGAAAAAUUAUAACCAGAGGGGAGAAUCAGAAUGAACUCCUAUUAUAUGACAUUAUAUGUUUACAUUACAUAUUAUAUGUUUGUAACAAGAAGAAAAACAGGACAACGGUGGCUAUGUGGUUACUGUAGCUGACUGCAAACACAUAGGUUGGCGGUUCAAAUCCAUUCGCUCCUGGAUUUUGACAUAAGUGUGUUCAGGAUCAGAAGUGAAAUGUGAUGGGUGUGAGAAUCCGUACUUGCGCGACGCAGUUUCUAGGUCUUAGGUCUCUCUAGAUCUUUGACAUUUACGAAAUAUAAUGAGGAGAAGUUUCAGACGAAAGGGAAAUUACCUCCUGAGAUGUGAAAAAUAAAAAAAAGCCUACCUAUGAAAACAACAUAGAAAAAAGAAAAAAGAAAAAAGAAGAAAAAAGAAAAAAACAAGAUGAAAAAUACGCUUGUUCAAAUGGAAAUUAACAGUCUUAACUAAGAGUAACACGAAAAGAAUUUUCGGUAGUCUGUAACAAGACUAAUUCUUUUUUUCUGUAUCCCCGAGGGACCGAACUAGUCGAGUCGAUCCAGUUACCAUUUCCAAUCGAGAUGGAAUUCGAUCCUUGGUUAUAAAUAGGACCAAGAGUGAAGGUAGUACACAGGCCGGUCGGUAUCUACCAACAGGCUGGAUAGCAGUACGCACUUCGCCAAUCUGCAGGAUAGCCGAUACAACUCGCACGCAGCGGUUUAACAACCGGGUCAGUGUUUUUCGCUCUAGUUGUGUUGAUAUGUAUAAUCUUAGUAAUUAUAUACCACCACUGUGAAGAUUUACCUGACGUUGGGCAAGGAGAGGCUCUGUGAAUUCUCACAGGUGAGAUAGGGAAAAGACGAGGGGCGAAGGUAUAUCCACAUUUUAUUCCGUGCACCAAUCACAGCUGAUUGGUACCGACUGUUAUUUGUCGGGGCUCGAAGAAAAAAAUCCAUUCGAUAGUCUACUCCUACGUGUUCGUGUGGACCGACCAAACGGAUAUAUUGUUAAGGGCGAAAAUUACAGACAGCCGGCCGUCGGAACUCUACCGAAAUAAUUAUUCGGCCAAUCGGGAUCGAUUAUUGUACUCGUUAACCGGUCGGCUAGUAUCAUUACCGGAAUUAUCUUCCAUCCUGACUGUAUUACUAAAUCGAAAUCAUUAAUGAUUUCGUUGUAACUAAUUUCCAACAAUCGUACCGCCAGCCUUUUUAACAUACUUAUGAAUAGCGUAUUUCUUUCCUUCAAACAGAAAUGUCAUAAUCGUUUGGAAUAAUACAAAAUGACGGAAUUAUAUCCGGUUGUUCGUGAUGCAAAAUUUGUUAAAACUUUUAUUCAUUAAGAAAUAACUUCGAUUGCUAAACUAUGAAAACUAUGAUACGAAUUUCAAUCAUUUUAAAAUGACAAUUCGUAAAGGCUUCUAACAUUUAGUCGAGAAGUAAGGUAGUCCUAUUUUUUUAUUAUGUUUUAUUUUAUCCUUGCAACUUUGUUUCAAUGGUCAAAAUGUAUUGAAUCUGUUGAACCAUCUAUUGACGAUGCAAUUAAUAUUAUUUUUAAGAAAGUUAUAAACAAUUGAGAGCUUUUAUUAAAAAUUCAACCACUUUGCAACAACCUGAUAUUAUGGACUCGUCAUAUUGCGUAGACCACACAUUCGAAUGGAAAUUCAAUGUGUUGGUAAACUCGUUAAACUAAUCAAGGAAAAAGCAGAAACUAUGGAAAUCGAUUGUUAAGUGAUGUUAUUAACUAAUGCUACAUGAACAGUUCUCGACAAUUAUUAUCCACCCUUUACAAUGUUGCAGUAUGUCUAGUGACACGCGAAACAUACGAAACGGUCAAUUUUAGCCCAUCGCGAACCUGCGACUCAUCACUAGUCUGCGUUUAUUCGUAUAAUUUAGCGUACUAGUAAAUCGCGCGGGAAAUACUCGCGCGACAGAACCAGUUCGUCCGCAUCGAGCCUUAAGGUUACGAGGAGUGAUCGAUUGGCGCGCAUUCUGACAUCGUAAAGGGAAGAUGCACAUGCACACGCGAACGCCUCUCGAAUUGAGAAAGGGGAUCUCCUAGAGAGAAUGCAGAAUAGCAUUAUGUAACUUGCGUACGAUCGUUAAAUCUGAUUUUAUAUGACGGAUGCUACGAGUGAAAGUUGGGCGAAUUGAAGAAGAGAGUUGGGCGACGUAAAAAGAAAAGCUAUUUGACGUCACGUGAAAGUGGUACCUGUGUAAUUAUCAGGAAAUCUGAUAUGAAAACGAUAAGAAGAAAGAUGUACACUUAAAAAUUAAGAAGAUAUAUUACAAUAAUAACAAGUAAAAUCUAUACGUUUGUUCGUACUUAUUUUACUUCUAUAACUAAAUUAUAUACAGGGUGGUUGGUAACUGGUGGUACAAGCGGAAAGGGGGUGAUUCUUCGCGAAAAAAGAAGUCGAAAAUGUAGAAUAAAAUCUUUUUUUUAAUUUUUUUUUUAAUUUUUCCAUCGAGAUAACGAUCUACAGUGAGAUCCGUUAUAACGUGCCGCACGCGUACCGAGCGAAAAUUUAAAGUCGAUUUUCUCGAAAACAAAGCCUCGAACGAAAAAUUUUUAUUCUAUAUUUUCUAUUCUAUAUAUUCUAUAUUUUCUAUUAUUCUAUAUUUUAUUAUCUUAUCAGCUGUAAAACACGUGUUCGUUGUAGCAACACUGAAGACCAGAGUUUUCUUAUACCAGAGUAUAAGGACAACUUGAUGAACAUAAUGCGUCAACAACUAGUAAAUACUCGGCGGGUUCGCAAGCUACGCUCGUAAAGGGCGUAUGGGGUAGUAAGAUGUCGCGAGUUCGAGACCACUCCUGGGCAAGCCAAGGUGGAAAACCAAA